rnacentral:lncRNA from 1 species
UAAUGCAAACAUUUCCUCUUUCUGGCCUAUAUAUACCCUUCAUCUCCCUCAUCAGCUCUUCACACAAGGAUUAGAAAGUGAACUUCUGUUGAAUGUUAGAGAAAAAAUUGAAUGUUUGUUCUCUCCUCUUAAUCCAGAAAAAAAGGGUGUUAAUUAUAGCUUAUGCAGCAGUGAUACACAUCAGAUUUCAGCAAAUCAAUGGAGAUUAUGGUAAGGGAGGUGACAGAAGAGAGUGAGCACACAUGGUACUUUCUUGGAUGAUAUAAGGUUUCAUGCUUGAAGCUAUGCGUGCUUACUCUCUAUCUGUCACCCCAUCACCAUCUCUUUCUUUCUAUCCUUUAUUUUUCACUUUCUGUUACUAUAUGUGUAUCUUUUUUUUUUCACUUUCCCUUCAUAUGCUAUAAGUAACCCUAGCUAUAGCCUUAGGCUCGUGUUGUCAUAUAUCAUUCAGUAGUAUGCUUUGUGGGCAUCACAUUCCAUGUCUCAGGUAUGUAUAGCUUGUUGCCAUAUAUAUGGAUUUUUCUGUAUUAGAAUGAAUUUGAACUGCAUCAGUUUCCUCAAGAAAAGUACUUUUAUUUCUGUUUGUCUGAGGCACUAAUUAAUUGACGAAUUUUGAUCUUUUAUGCUCUCAGUUAGCCUAAGUUUAAGAGGUUUAAUCACUGAAUAAAUCCUAGCAAGUGAUAUUCCAUACUGUUAAGAAACAAACAGUUUAUUAUGUGUGUAUCAGAUGGUAGUUUACAUAUAAGAUUCUAUUGAAAACCCAUCCUAAUUUUCUUUCAUUUUACUCAUGAUUUUACCAGAUUAACUGCUAGGGUUUAGGGGAUUCUCAGUUAAGAAGAAAAUUAAUCAGCAGAGAUAUGGAAUUGUGACGAAAAAUGGGAUUCUUUGUAGUAAAUGAACUUGGUUUUGCAGAAGUAUAGAUUUAACUGAAAUUAAAUCUUGACUUUGGUUAGAUAGUAUCUGGUAUAUAUGUGCUCAUCUCUCUUUUAUUUAUUUAUUUAUUUUAAAUUUGGGAUUGAACCCACAAGUACUUUUGCAGUUGAAUUGAAAUCUAUGAACUACAAUCUUUCAAAAAAGUAAAACAUACCAGUUAAAAUGAGUAUUAUUUUUUUUGUCUGUAAGUGUUUCUAUGCAUUUUUUACACGAACAGUACUCUACUAUUCAUCUCUCUUUCUAAUGGUGUAUUAUUAGUCCUUUAGAGUAUUAUAUCGUUAUAUCAGAAUAUGAUUUUUAUGGAAUGGUAAUUUUUUUGGUAAGGGUUGGCGUAAUCAAUAUUUAACUUUAUAAUUCAUACUCUCAGACCUUCAUGGAAUAUCUGAGUUACUUUCUUUACUCUAGGGUUCUAAAGCACAGCAUUUGUUUUCGCUAAAUAUAAGUUCUAUGUCACUUUCAGGUUGUAAAAGGUCUUGUUGAUGAAAUGGAGUGCAGACAACUGAAAUCCUCCAGCAAAAAGCUUGGUGGGAAAUUAAAACAAACCAUGUGUAUUUUCUAUAUCUUUAGGGUUGAUAAAAAAAUACCUAUGGGGAAAAGGGGUUGUUCUGGUUGUUAAUUUAUCUUGUUAUAUAUAUGUCAAAAUGAUAAAUGUGUAAUUUUUACCUUACCAAAUGGUAGCAUAUGGAUAAUAAAGAUCUAUAUAUAUACACAAUCAUGUUAUUGUAAUCAAUACUUUGAUCAAAUAUACAUGCACCAUUGCAUGCUAAAAAUGCACAAACUAUGCUAAUUGUAUAGGGUUUGCUCAUAUAUAUUAAGGGUACGUGAAGGAGAAACAGUUUUAAGAGAGAA